rnacentral:rRNA from 1 species
UGGCGACCGGCGCACGGUGAGUACGCGUAUCCAACUCCGCAUAGUAGGAAUAGCCCGGCGAAAGUCGGAUUAAUGCCCUAUGUUUUCCGAUGAGGACAUCUGAGCUGGAACAAAGAUUUAUCGCUAUGCGAUGGGGAUGCGUCUGAUUAGCUUGUCGGCGGGGUAACGGCCCACCGAGGCAACGAUCAGUAGGGUUCUGAGAGGAAGGUCCCCCACAUUGGUACUGAGACACGGACCAAACUCCUACGGGAGGCAGUAGUGAGGAAUAUUGGUCAAUGGGCGUAAGCCUGAACCAGCCAAGUAGCGUGCAAGGAAGACUGCCCUAUGGGUUGUAAACUGCUUUUAUGCGGAAUAAAGUCAGGUACGCGUACCUGUUUGUAUGUACCGCAUGAAUAAGGACCGGCUAAUUCCGUGCCAGCAGCUGC